CCGGCCUCUGUUUCUACGACAACGGAAACCCAAGCCUCCCGCUACACCGCUUUCUCCGCAGCGCCAAAGCGGGACAAGACGGGACUACGUUUCCCAGCAGUCCCCGCGCGGGUUCUUGCCUGCGCUUGCUGUGGCCUGGGUCCCUCAGUGCCGCGGCGGCCCGGAGGUGGCGGGAGGACGGCUCCGCGCUGCAUGCGGGGCGGGGACCAGGGGACCCGUGCGGGCCGCCUCCAGCGAAUGAGGCUGCCAGGCUUGAGAGAACCACCAUUACCUGGUUGAAGAGGGGAGGGGCAGCUCGCAUUGGCCUCUGCAGCGUGGAUCUCCCGGCCAGGCUCUCAGCUGUCAGGUGAGUCCACCUCACACCUCCCAGAAGACAUGGACAAUGGCAGUGAAUGGAGCCAGGAGGACCCGGAGUGUGGGCU
ensembl:lncRNA